GGCUAUGCCUCAAUUGAUAAAGUGAACUAAUUGCCUACUUCAAAAGCAGUUUUGCAUGAAAGUCAACAUCUAAUUGGAAUUUACAAUGCCCGAUAUUUCUACACAUCUGCCACAAAUUUUAUGGAAAACAAUAUUUAUAGAAACUGAACAUACCUUGGUUAAACGUAUAUGAAAUGGGUAACCAUCCUCGAAGAAUAUCAACCAGCUGUCGGCAAUGUGCAGGUGGACUGAGGAAUUUUCCAGUGUAUCCUUUAUGGACUGUACUCCGUUCUAGCACUAUCCUCAAGUUUUACCCGAGAGGCCAUGCUUCAGGUUGGACCGUCUUCCAUAUAUCUACUGACUUCAUAUAAAUGAAAGUGUACUAAAGGCUCACUGAUCUACACUACCAGCUCAUGCUCAACGUUACUGAACAACAAAGUAAUCCGACAAUCAGACUGGACCCGGUCAUGUUAGAUACCAGAGGAAGACGAAAAUAUAAUUGAUUCUGUACUGAUGCAUAACUUCGCUCGGAACGCGGCAAGAAUUAACAAUGGAAGAAAAUACUACAGACUUGUUUAUUAA
rnacentral:lncRNA from 1 species